AUGUAUAAUGUCACAGAGGCCGUCUGGUGUGAUGGGAAGAGCUCUAGGGAUCACAGAAUCCAAGUGGGAAUGGAUUGUAGAGGUCAUCCAGUCCAACUCCUCCUUUUACAGAAUAGGUGGCAGCAUGGGAUGUUGCUGAACUGGAAUUCGAGUCAGGGGUCCUGGGUUCAGAUUCUGAUUCUGCCACUUGCCUUCUGUAUGACUUCAGAUGAAGGAACAGAAGCUGGAAAAGGAGAAGUGACUCCUCCCAGAGUGACAGAGGUUCCUCGACUGGUUCAUGACAGCGUGGGAACUGAGGCCAAGGGUUCUAGCCUCCCGACCAAGUGCUCCUUCUGAUGAGAAACUUCCUCUCUGCACUAAAUAACAACUCUCACUUCCUGAGAUCUCUGACUUCUGUGGAACACUUUCCCCAGAGCAGCCCCUUCCGCCACAGGUAUGUUACCCCCAUUUUGCAGAUGACAAAACUUAAGCCCAGAGAUGGAAGAUGAAGAUUGCCUUGCUCUAGGUCACACAGAUAACCUAAUAAACAGAUCCAGGCCCCAAAGCA
rnacentral:lncRNA from 1 species